rnacentral:rRNA from 1 species
CACGGAGUUAGCCGGUGCUUCUUCUGCGGGUAACGUCAAUCGCUGAGGUUAUUAACCUCAACGCCUUCCUCCCCGCUGAAAGUACUUUACAACCCGAAGGCCUUCUUCAUACACGCGGCAUGGCUGCAUCAGGCUUGCGCCCAUUGUGCAAUAUUCCCCA